CCUAUACAGGUGUUGCAUGGCUGUCGUCAGCUCGUGUCGUGAGAUGUUCGGUUAAGUCCGCUAACGAGCGCAACCCUCGUCGUAUGUUAUAUGUGUCAUACGAGACUGCCGGUAAAAGCCGGAGGAAGGUGAGGAUGAUGUCAAGUCAGCAUGACCUUUAUAUCCAGGGCUACACACACGCUACAAUGGUCUGUACAAUGGGUAGCCAAGCCGCGAGGCGGAGCCAAUCCUGAAAGCAGGCCUCAGUUCAGAUUGCAGUCUGCAACUCGACUGCAUGAAGCCGGAGUUGCUAGUAACCGCAGGUCAGCAAUACUGCGGUGAAUACGUUCCCGGGUCUU
rnacentral:rRNA from 1 species